UAACGUAGCAGCUGUUUGUAGUACAGUAUGGUGACACAGUUCUACGUAGCUUCCAGAGGACGAGUUCACGUGCAGGAUCGGGAUGAUUGACAGGUCGCCAUCUUUCCUGUUAGUGAGGAGAUAAAAGGAAAACGGCGUCAUGGCCUCAGGAAGAAGUUACCGUAGCGGUUCAGAAAAACGGAGGAAGAGAGACAGUCAGAGAGUUCCAGUAAAACCAAACUGGUCUUGGGGAGGGUCAAGCUCUGAAAGGAGCAUCAGACUGGUGAGGUUUGUGUUACUCAGUGAUAAUCUUAAUUGUUUUUAAUCCUCCGUUGUGCUGAAUCCAUGUUCAGAUGAUUUAAGGAGUUCCUUAACUGAGUUUUACCAGCUGAUGCCACCACAAGAAGGACUGGGGCAGACCAUCUUAACCUUCCACAGCUUAUAGAGCAUCCAGACGAGUAGUGGAUGGGUGAAAACACGGUCUGGUGAAGGCUCCUGGUGGUAGAGACUCGGCUGAGGUGUAGCAGCAGAAGGAAGGCUCCUUCUUCACCUCUGGUUCCUGCAACAAGAGGGGGACACUCUCCUCCACCUUUAACUCCAGGGCCUGUCUUUGGGUGGAUCCUGCUGGACUAUCCAGCUCCUGUGGUCGCGGCCUCCUGGCUGCCCUCCAGAGAGCUGUUUCCUGUCUGCGCCACCUCCCAGCCUGACUAAACUAAAUAUUUUAAUAUUUUACCAAACCAAGACUUGGUGGUUCACAUGUUGCAGCUGCAGAGCCGAAUGUCGCCAUGGCCAGGAAAGUGUCUCAGAAACAAGUCAUGGAAGGUGGAGAUUACUGGUUCUCCGGUCAGCACUGCAUCUCAGCUCUAGACCCCCAAACUCCCUUGGUGUUCCUCUGUUUGAUCGGGAGAGGAUGGAGCACAUCUGGCGGGUCCAGAAGAAGCAUGUGAAGAGCAUCCAAGAUCCACCAGGUGUUGCUCUCUGCACUAAAACUGGGAGCUGACCAAGGGAGGUGUGUGUCUGCCGGUGUUUAGGUGAACCAGAGGCUCAACUUCCUUGGAGUCUUUUCAUCUGCAGCUAAACCGCUUCAUAGCAGGGAGCAGUGCCAACAGCCUGAAUGUUCAGGUUUACCUGUUGGAAGGGCUACACAGGUGGAACCAGGACCAGGUGUUGCUGCCAUGGCAACUGAGAAGUCUCCUUUGUGCUGCUACUCUGGUGAUUUGCUGCAUUCUGUCAACCAAACCUACAAGAAGCUGUUUGGCAGAAAGGUGGCGCCAGAGUUCUGUCCGUCCUCAUGUUACACAGGCGAACUCGUAGGAGUUCAGUAUCUGUUCCAGCAGACUGGUCAGGAGCUGCAGGACAUGAACCCUGACUCAGAGGAGACCGCCCGGUUGGUUGAGGAGCACGAUGUGGUGCUUGAUGAGGAAGAUGAGGGCUUUUCUGACCUCACAGACGAGCCACAGUGCUGGAUAUGGAGGUUCAACCUGCUCCCAGCACCUCCUCCACGCUGGCCUCUGGCAUAUCUGAGGCUGGAGAUUCCUCACAUGAAACUGUGUCAGUAACAGUUAUUUGCUGCUGUUUUCUACAUACUGUAUGUUCACGCAUGUUAUUGAAACUAAAGGUUUUAAACAGUAAUUUUCUGUUUUCUGCUUCAUAACAUUGGCAGGCUGUUGAUGAGCAGAAUGUGGCUGGAUACCAGCAUGUGGAGGAGAAAGAUCCUAAAUAGAAUUUAGGGAACUUGCUCGUCAAUAAUUGUAAAUAGUUCUGAUUGUUUGAGUGUUUAUUGUAAAUAUUGGUCUAGUUUGGUAUAGUUUAAUUAUUGUUUAACAGUGUUUAUUGAAAAACAUGUUUGUCGUUGUUCUUAAUGACAUUGAACAUUAAACAGUGAGUGUGAAA